CGGCGGUGUUUGGCACCUCGAUGUCGGCUCAUCACAUCCUGGGGCUGAAGUAGGUCCCAAGGGUAUGGCUGUUCGCCAUUUAAAGUGGUACGCGAGCUGGGUUUAGAACGUCGUGAGACAGUUCGGUCCCUAUCUGCCGUGGGCGCUGGAGAACUGAGGGGGGCUGCUCCUAGUACGAGAGGACCGGAGUGGACGCAUCACUGGUGUUCGGGUUGUCAUGCCAAUGGCACUGCCCGGUAGCUAAAUGCGGAAGAGAUAAGUGCUGAAAGCAUCUAAGCACGAAACUUGCCCCGAGAUGAGUUCUCCCUGAGACUUUAGGUCUCCUGAAGGAACGUUGAAGACGACGACGUUGAUAGGCCGGGUGUGUAAGCGCAGCGAUGCGUUGAGCUAACCGGUACUAAUGAACCGUGAGGCUUAACCUUACAACGCCGAAG
rnacentral:rRNA from 1 species